UUGAACGCUGGCGGAAUGCUUUACACAUGCAAGUCGAGCGGCAGCGCGGGGCAACCUGGCGGCGAGCGGCGAACGGGUGAGUAACAUAUCGGAACGUACCCUAUCGUGGGGGAUAACACAUCGAAAGAUGUGCUAAUACCGCAUACGACCUGAGGGUGAAAGCGGGGGAUCGCAAGACCUCGCGCUAGUGGAGCGGCCGAUGUCCGAUUAGCUUGUUGGUGAGGUAAAGGCUCACCAAGGCGACGAUCGGUAGCUGGUCUGAGAGGAUGAUCAGCCACACUGGGACUGAGACACGGCCCAGACUCCUACGGGAGGCAGCAGUGGGGAAUUUUGGACAAUGGGGGCAACCCUGAUCCAGCCAUGCCGCGUGAGUGAAGAAGGCCUUCGGGUUGUAAAGCUCUUUCGGUCGGGACGAAACGGCGGAUGCUAAUACCAUCCGUUACUGACGGUACCGACAGAAGAAGCACCGGCUAACUACGU
rnacentral:rRNA from 1 species